rnacentral:tRNA from 1 species
AGCCGUUUUUAAAAUAUUGUUUUGAAAACAAUAAUUAAGUGUUCAAGACACUUAACAGCUU